UCUUUUUCUCUGCAUUUGUGCCCUCCCCAAAUCUGCUCUGGAAUGCCUCCGCUAGAGCAGAUUUGGGGGGGGGGGGGAGAUGCAGGGGAAGAGA